CAGUGGGGAAUAUUGCACAAUGGGCGCAAGCCUGAUGCAGCCAUGCCGCGUGUAUGAAGAAGGCCUUCGGGUUGUAAAGUACUUUCAGCGGGGAGGAAGGUGUUGUGGUUAAUAACCGCAGCAAUUGACGUUACCCGCAGAAGAAGCACCGGCUAACUCCGUGCCAGCAGCCGCGGUAAUACGGAGGGUGCAAGCGUUAAUCGGAAUUACUGGGCGUAAAGCGCACGCAGGCGGUCUGUCAAGUCGGAUGUGAAAUCCCCGGGCUCAACCUGGGAACUGCAUUCGAAACUGGCAGGCUUGAGUCUUGUAGAGGGGGGUAGAAUUCCAGGUGUAG
rnacentral:rRNA from 1 species